GGGGAAUAUUGCGCAAUGGGGGAAACCCUGACGCAGCAAUACCGCGUGAGUGAAGAAGGUUUUCGGAUCGUAAAGCUCUGUUAUUGGGGAAGAAAAAAAGACGGUACCCAAGAAGAAAGUCCCGUCUAACUACGUGCCAGCAGCCGCGGUAAUACGUAGGGGACAAGCGUUGUCCGGAUUUACUGGGCGUAAAGGGCACGCAGGCGGUUUUUUAAGUCAGAUGUGAAAGGUACCGGCUCAACCCAUAACCUGCAUUUGAAACUGUAGUUCUUGAGUGAUGGAGAGGCAGGCGGAAUUCCGUGUGUAGCGGUGAAAUGCGUAGAUAUACGGAGGAACACCAGUGGCGAAGGCGGCCUGCUGGACAUUAACUGACGCUGAGGCGCGAAAGCGUGGGGAGCAAACA
rnacentral:rRNA from 1 species